UACGGGGGGGGGCAAGCGUUGUUCGGAAUUACUGGGCGUAAAGGGCUCGUAGGCGGCCAACUAAGUCCGACGUGAAAUCCCAAGGCUUAACCUUGGAACUGCGUCCGAUACUGGCAGGCUUGAAUUCGGGAGAGGGAUGCGGAAUUCCAGGUGUAGCGGUGAAAUGCGUAGAUAUCAGGAGGAACACCGGUGGCGAAGGCGGAUCUCUGGGCCAUUACUGACGCUGGAUGCGCGAAAGCCAGGGGAGCAAACGGG
rnacentral:rRNA from 1 species